rnacentral:rRNA from 1 species
UACAGAGGUCUCAAGCGUUGUUCGGAUUCAUUGGGCGUAAAGGGUGCGUAGGCGGCGCGGUAAGUCGGGUGUGAAAUCUCGGGGCUUAACUCCGAAACUGCAUUCGAUACUGCCGUGAUUGAGGACUGGAGAGGAGACUGGAAUUUACGGUGUAGCAGUGAAAUGCGUAGAGAUCGUAAGGAAGACCAGUGGCGAAGGCGGGUCUCUGGACAGUUCCUGACACUGAGGCACGAAGGCCAGGGGAGCAAACGGG